rnacentral:rRNA from 1 species
GAUGAACGCUAGCGGCAGGCUUAAUACAUGCAAGUCAAGGGGGUAGCAAUACAACCGGCGCACGGGUGAGUAACGCGUACACAACAUACCAUAUACUGGAGUAUAGCUUUGGGAAACUGAAGGUAAUCCUCCAUAACAUUGCGAGAGGGCAUCUGAUUGCAAUUAAAGUUCCGGCGGUAUAUGAUUGGUGUGCGUUUGAUUAGCUAGUUGGUAGGGUAACGGCCUACCAAGGCGACGAUCAAUAGCUGGCGUGAGAGCGCGACCAGCCACACUGGAACUGAGACACGGUCCAGACUCCUACGGGAGGCAGCAGUAGGGAAUAUUGGACAAUGGGCGAAAGCCUGAUCCAGCCAUGCCGCGUGAUAGAUGAAGGCCCUCUGGGUUGUAAAUAUCUUUUAUCUGGAAGAAACUCCUCUAUUCUUAGAGGCCUGACGGUACCAGAGGAAUAAGCACCGGCUAACUCCGUGCCAGCAGCCGACGG